UGGGGAAUAUUGCGCAAUGGAGGAAACUCUGACGCAGCAACGCCGCGUGAGUGAAGAAGGUUUUCGGAUCGUAAAACUCUGUCUUUGGGGACGAAACAAAUGACGGUACCAAAGGAGGAAGCCCCGGCUAACUACGUGCCAGCAGCCGCGGUAAUACGUAGGGGGCAAGCGUUGUCCGGAAUUACUGGGCGUAAAGAGUACGUAGGCGGUUUGUUAAGUUAGGUGUGAAAGUUUGCAGCUCAACUGUAAAAGUGCAUUUAAAACUGGCAGACUUGAGUCUCGGAGAGGUAAGCGGAAUUCCUAGUGUAGCGGUGAAAUGCGUAGAGAUUAGGAAGAACACCGGUGGCGAAGGCGGCUUACUGGACGAGUACUGACGCUCAGGUACGAAAGCGUGGGGAGCAAACA
rnacentral:rRNA from 1 species